rnacentral:misc_RNA from 1 species
CCUGUUGCUUAUUCAUUCAGAGUGGGAAAGCGCCAGCCGAGCGGCCAGCCAGUGCGGGGCUGGCCAUGUAAGGCCCACAGGCGGUCCUGCCCGCCCGGUGCCCUGCGGAGAGCCUCGUGCAGCCCUGGGCACCGCCCCUGCCCUGCCCUGACCCCUUGGCCUUGAAAUGCUGUCAUCGGAGGAGCCGUCCCGCUCGGGACAAGGCCAGCAUGGACAAAGCUAGAGCUGGGGCAAGCAAGGAGCCUUCCUGUCCUCGAGGCCGUGGGAAGAGAAGCACGCCCAGGGGGCCACUCCUGAGAGCCUCUCUGUCCACCAGGCCUCUGCAGAGGGGUCACCAUGGCUCUGGCCCGAGGCAGCCGGCAGCUGGGGGCCCUGGUGUGGGGCGCCUGCCUGUGCGUGCUGGUGCACGGGCAGCAGGCGCAGCCCGGGCAGGGCUCGGACCCCGCCCGCUGGCGGCAGCUGAUCCAGUGGGAGAACAACGGGCAGGUGUACAGCUUGCUCAACUCGGGCUCAGAGUACGUGCCGGCCGGACCUCAGCGCUCCGAGAGUAGCUCCCGGGUGCUGCUGGCCGGCGCGCCCCAGGCCCAGCAGCGGCGCAGCCACGGGAGCCCCCGGCGUCGGCAGGCGCCGUCCCUGCCCCUGCCGGGGCGCGUGGGCUCGGACACCGUGCGCGGCCAGGCGCGGCACCCAUUCGGCUUUGGCCAGGUGCCCGACAACUGGCGCGAGGUGGCCGUCGGGGACAGCACGGGCAUGGCCCGGGCCCGCACCUCCGUCUCCCAGCAACGGCACGGGGGCUCCGCCUCCUCGGUCUCGGCUUCGGCCUUCGCCAGCACCUACCGCCAGCAGCCCUCCUACCCGCAGCAGUUCCCCUACCCGCAGGCGCCCUUCGUCAGCCAGUACGAGAACUACGACCCCGCGUCGCGGACCUACGACCAGGGUUUCGUGUACUACCGGCCCGCGGGCGGCGGCGUGGGCGCGGGGGCGGCGGCCGUGGCCUCGGCGGGGGUCAUCUACCCCUACCAGCCCCGGGCGCGCUACGAGGAGUACGGCGGCGGCGAAGAGCUGCCCGAGUACCCGCCUCAGGGCUUCUACCCGGCCCCCGAGAGGCCCUACGUGCCGCCGCCGCCGCCGCCCCCCGACGGCCUGGACCGCCGCUACUCGCACAGUCUGUACAGCGAGGGCACCCCCGGCUUCGAGCAGGCCUACCCUGACCCCGGUCCCGAGGCGGCGCAGGCCCAUGGCGGAGACCCACGCCUGGGCUGGUACCCGCCCUACGCCAACCCGCCGCCCGAGGCGUACGGGCCGCCGCGCGCGCUGGAGCCGCCCUACCUGCCGGUGCGCAGCUCCGACACGCCCCCGCCGGGUGGGGAGCGGAACGGCGCGCAGCAGGGCCGCCUCAGCGUGGGCAGCGUGUACCGGCCCAACCAGAACGGCCGCGGUCUCCCUGACUUGGUCCCAGACCCCAACUAUGUGCAAGCAUCCACUUAUGUGCAGAGAGCCCACCUGUACUCCCUGCGCUGUGCUGCGGAGGAGAAGUGUCUGGCCAGCACAGCCUAUGCCCCUGAGGCCACCGACUACGAUGUGCGGGUGCUACUGCGCUUCCCCCAGCGCGUGAAGAACCAGGGCACAGCAGACUUCCUCCCCAACCGGCCACGGCACACCUGGGAGUGGCACAGCUGCCACCAGCAUUACCACAGCAUGGACGAGUUCAGCCACUACGACCUACUGGAUGCAGCCACAGGCAAGAAGGUGGCCGAGGGCCACAAGGCCAGUUUCUGCCUGGAGGACAGCACCUGUGACUUCGGCAACCUCAAGCGCUAUGCAUGCACCUCUCAUACCCAGGGCCUGAGCCCAGGCUGCUAUGACACCUACAAUGCGGACAUCGACUGCCAGUGGAUCGACAUAACCGACGUGCAGCCUGGGAACUACAUCCUCAAGGUGCACGUGAACCCAAAGUAUAUUGUUUUGGAGUCUGACUUCACCAACAACGUGGUGAGAUGCAACAUUCACUACACAGGUCGCUACGUUUCUGCAACAAACUGCAAAAUUGUCCAAUCCUGAUCUCCGGGAGGGACAGAUGGCCAAUCUCUCCCCUUCCAAAGCAGGCCCUGCUCCCCGGGCAGCCUCCCGCCGAGGGGCCCAGCCCCCAACCCACAGGCACGGAGGGGCAUCCCUCCCUGCCGGCCUCAGGGAGCGAACGUGGAUGAAAACCACAGGGAUUCCGGACGCCAGACCCCAUUUUAUACUUCACUUUUCUCUACAGUGUUGUUUUGUUGUUGUUGGUUUUUAUUUUUUAUACUUUGGCCAUACCACAGAGCUAGAUUGCCCAGGUCUGGGCUGAAUAAAACAAGGUUUUUCUAC